rnacentral:tRNA from 1 species
GCGGAUGUGGCGAAAUUGGUACACGCGCCAGAUUUAGGUUCUGGUGGGAAACCGUGCAGGUUCGAGUCCUGUCAUCCGCACCA